rnacentral:rRNA from 1 species
CGGAUGUUAGCGGCGGACGGGUGAGUAACACGUGGGUAACCUGCCUGUAAGACUGGGAUAACUCCGGGAAACCGGAGCUAAUACCGGAUAGUUCCUUGAACCGCAUGGUUCAAGGAUGAAAGACGGUUUCGGCUGUCACUUACAGAUGGACCCGCGGCGCAUUAGCUAGUUGGUGGGGUAAUGGCUCACCAAGGCGACGAUGCGUAGCCGACCUGAGAGGGUGAUCGGCCACACUGGGACUGAGACACGGCCCAGACUCCUACGGGAGGCAGCAGUAGGGAAUCUUCCGCAAUGGACGAAAGUCUGACGGAGCAACGCCGCGUGAGUGAUGAAGGUUUUCGGAUCGUAAAGCUCUGUUGUUAGGGAAGAACAAGUGCGAGAGUAACUGCUCGCACCUUGACGGUACCUAACCAGAAAGCCACGGCUAACUACGUGCCAGCAGCCGCGGUAAUACGUAGGUGGCAAGCGUUGUCCGGAAUUAUUGGGCGUAAAGGGCUCGCAGGCGGUUUCUUAAGUCUGAUGUGAAAGCCCCCGGCUCAACCGGGGAGGGUCAUUGGAAACUGGGAAACUUGAGUGCAGAAGAGGAGAGUGGAAUUCCACGUGUAGCGGUGAAAUGCGUAGAGAUGUGGAGGAACACCAGUGGCGAAGGCGACUCUCUGGUCUGUAACUGACGCUGAGGAGCGAAAGCGUGGGGAGCGAACAGGAUUAGAUACCCUGGUAGUCCACGCCGUAAACGAUGAGUGCUAAGUGUUAGGGGGUUUCCGCCCCUUAGUGCUGCAGCUAACGCAUUAAGCACUCCGCCUGGGGAGUACGGUCGCAAGACUGAAACUCAAAGGAAUUGACGGGGGCCCGCACAAGCGGUGGAGCAUGUGGUUUAAUUCGAAGCAACGCGAAGAACCUUACCAGGUCUUGACAUCCUCUGACAACCCUAGAGAUAGGGCUUUCCCUUCGGGGACAGAGUGACAGGUGGUGCAUGGUUGUCGUCAGCUCGUGUCGUGAGAUGUUGGGUUAAGUCCCGCAACGAGCGCAACCCUUGAUCUUAGUUGCCAGCAUUCAGUUGGGCACUCUAAGGUGACUGCCGUGACAACCGGAGAAAGGUGGGGAUGACGUCAAAUCAUCAUGCCCCUUAUGACCUGGGCUACCACGUGCUACAUGGACAGACAAAGGCUGCAGAACCGCAGGUUUACCAACCCCUAAAUCUGUUCCCAUUUGGAACCAAUCUGCAACCCAAUGGGUGAAACUGGAACCCAUAAUC